UCCAAGAGCGCUAGUCGUGGCCUUGGCAGAGAUGGUUCCUUCAUCCUACCCGUGCCAACGGGCACAGUGCUGGGGGCCGAGUGUGCGGAGGUGAACAAACAGGCCAGCCUCUGUCUCCGGGAGCUGGGGCUCUAGUGCCCUCGAGGACAGCAAACAGCACAUCACGACCUUCUUGUGCUUAGGACACUAGACAACACUUCAAUGCUAUGCUUGGGGGCCAUUUUAAACAGCUAAAUCAUCAGCAAAAAGCAGAAAAAUGCAAAAAACGUGAUACUAAGUAGACCCUGAGAAGGAGACUUUUUGUAUAGCAUGAGAGCUGAAACAAGAAAGCAGAGGGUUAGCUUGUUCCACCUCAACUGGGAAUGUGUACAUCAGGGACUCCAAGUUUUCACCCUUCCAUGCGUGUCCAAAAAUGACCACAAAAGUGCUGCACGUGCUCCAAAGAUGUCUAGGAGGAAAUUCAGAUUAAAACUGAUCAUUCUCUUGAGAUUUGGGAAUCUGACUCCCUCGCAACCUUUCUUAGAAGCCACUCCACUGUAUUAUCCUCAUUUUAUAGAGGAGAAGACUGACGCCUAAGUAACCGCCACUAGCGAAUAAUGCACUCAGGACCACCCUGACUUCGAGUUACCUGCAAAAUGGCGGCAUGCACAAAGACUUCUCAUUUUCACCAAAGGGGGCCCCAGAAGGUCGUGAACCAGCACAAUUCACUGAUGUCAGGGUCCCUCUUCCUCUUCAGCACCUGGGAAGAUCAGCCCUGAGCUAACAUCUGCUGCCAGUCCUCCUCUUUUUGCUGAGGAAGCCUGGCCCUGAGCUAACAUCCGUGCCCAUCCUCCUCUACUUUAUAUGUGGG
rnacentral:lncRNA from 1 species